GGUCAAGUGAAGAAGCGCAUACGGUGGAUGCCUUGGCAGUCAGAGGCGAUGAAAGACGUGGUAGCCUGCGAAAAGCUUCGGGGAGUCGGCAAACAGACUUUGAUCCGGAGAUCUCUGAAUGGGGGAACCCACCUAGGAUAACCUAGGUAUCUUGUACUGAAUCCAUAGGUGCAAGAGGCGAACCAGGGGAACUGAAACAUCUAAGUACCCUGAGGAAAAGAAAUCAACCGAGAUUCCCUUAGUAGUGGCGAGCGAACGGGGAUUAGCCCUUAAGCUUCAUUGAUUUUAGCGGAACGCUCUGGAAAGUGCGGCCAUAGUGGGUGAUAGCCCCGUACGCGAAAGGAUCUUUGAAGUGAAAUCGAGUAGGACGGAGCACGAGAAACUUUGUCUGAACAUGGGGGGACCAUCCUCCAAGGCUAAAUACUACUGACUGACCGAUAGUGAACCAGUACCGUGAGGGAAAGGCGAAAAGAACCCCGGAGAGGGGAGUGAAAUAGAACCUGAAACCGUAUGCGUACAAGCAGUGGGAGCCUACUUGUUAGGUGACUGCGUACCUUUUGUAUAAUGGGUCAGCGACUUAUAUUCAGUGGCAAGCUUAACCGUAUAGGGUAGGCGUAGCGAAAGCGAGUCUUAAUAGGGCGUUUAGUCGCUGGGUAUAGACCCGAAACCGGGCGAUCUAUCCAUGAGCAGGUUGAAGGUUAGGUAACACUGACUGGAGGACCGAACCCACUCCCGUUGAAAAGGUAGGGGAUGACUUGUGGAUCGGAGUGAAAGGCUAAUCAAGCUCGGAGAUAGCUGGUUCUCCUCGAAAGCUAUUUAGGUAGCGCCUCAUGUAUCACUCUGGGGGGUAGAGCACUGUUUCGGCUAGGGGGUCAUCCCGACUUACCAAACCGAUGCAAACUCCGAAUACCCAGAAGUGCCGAGCAUGGGAGACACACGGCGGGUGCUAACGUCCGUCGUGAAAAGGGAAACAACCCAGACCGCCAGCUAAGGUCCCAAAGUUGUGGUUAAGUGGUAAACGAUGUGGGAAGGCUUAGACAGCUAGGAGGUUGGCUUAGAAGCAGCCAUCCUUUAAAGAAAGCGUAAUAGCUCACUAGUCGAGUCGGCCUGCGCGGAAGAUGUAACGGGGCUCAAACCACACACCGAAGCUGCGGGUGUCACGUAAGUGACGCGGUAGAGGAGCGUUCUGUAAGCCUGUGAAGGUGAGUUGAGAAGCUUGCUGGAGGUAUCAGAAGUGCGAAUGCUGACAUGAGUAACGACAAUGGGUGUGAAAAACACCCACGCCGAAAGACCAAGGGUUCCUGCGCAACGUUAAUCGACGCAGGGUUAGUCGGUUCCUAAGGCGAGGCUGAAAAGCGUAGUCGAUGGGAAACAGGUUAAUAUUCCUGUACUUCUGGUUACUGCGAUGGAGGGACGGAGAAGGCUAGGCCAGCUUGGCGUUGGUUGUCCAAGUUUAAGGUGGUAGGCUGAAAUCUUAGGUAAAUCCGGGGUUUCAAGGCCGAGAGCUGAUGACGAGUCGUCUUUUAGAUGACGAAGUGGUUGAUGCCAUGCUUCCAAGAAAAGCUUCUAAGCUUCAGGUAACCAGGAACCGUACCCCAAACCGACACAGGUGGUCGGGUAGAGAAUACCAAGGCGCUUGAGAGAACUCGGGUGAAGGAACUAGGCAAAAUGGCACCGUAACUUCGGGAGAAGGUGCGCCGGCUAGGGUGAAGGAUUUACUCCGUAAGCUCUGGCUGGUCGAAGAUACCAGGCCGCUGCGACUGUUUAUUAAAAACACAGCACUCUGCAAACACGAAAGUGGACGUAUAGGGUGUGACGCCUGCCCGGUGCCGGAAGGUUAAUUGAUGGGGUUAGCGCAAGCGAAGCUCUUGAUCGAAGCCCCGGUAAACGGCGGCCGUAACUAUAACGGUCCUAAGGUAGCGAAAUUCCUUGUCGGGUAAGUUCCGACCUGCACGAAUGGCCGUAACGAUGGCGGCGCUGUCUCCACCCGAGACUCAGUGAAAUUGAAAUCGCUGUGAAGAUGCAGUGUAUCCGCGGCUAGACGGAAAGACCCCGUGAACCUUUACUGUAGCUUUGCACUGGACUUUGAGCCUGCUUGUGUAGGAUAGGUGGGAGGCUUUGAAGCGUGGACGCCAGUUCGCGUGGAGCCAUCCUUGAAAUACCACCCUGGCAUGCUUGAGGUUCUAACUCUGGUCCGUGAUCCGGAUCGAGGACAGUGUAUGGUGGGCAGUUUGACUGGGGCGGUCUCCUCCUAAAGAGUAACGGAGGAGUACGAAGGUGCGCUCAGACCGGUCGGAAAUCGGUCGCAGAGUAUAAAGGCAAAAGCGCGCUUGACUGCGAGACAGACACGUCGAGCAGGUACGAAAGUAGGUCUUAGUGAUCCGGUGGUUCUGUAUGGAAGGGCCAUCGCUCAACGGAUAAAAGGUACUCCGGGGAUAACAGGCUGAUACCGCCCAAGAGUUCAUAUCGACGGCGGUGUUUGGCACCUCGAUGUCGGCUCAUCACAUCCUGGGGCUGAAGCCGGUCCCAAGGGUAUGGCUGUUCGCCAUUUAAAGUGGUACGCGAGCUGGGUUUAGAACGUCGUGAGACAGUUCGGUCCCUAUCUGCCGUGGACGUUUGAGAUUUGAGAGGGGCUGCUCCUAGUACGAGAGGACCGGAGUGGACGAACCUCUGGUGUUCCGGUUGUCACGCCAGUGGCAUUGCCGGGUAGCUAUGUUCGGAAAAGAUAACCGCUGAAAGCAUCUAAGCGGGAAACUUGCCUCAAGAUGAGAUCUCACUGGGAACUUGAUUCCCCUGAAGGGCCGUCGAAGACUACGACGUUGAUAGGCUGGGUGUGUAAGCGUUGUGAGGCGUUGAGCUAACCAGUACUAAUUGCCCGUGAGGCUUGACCAU
rnacentral:rRNA from 1 species